UGUUUUCAAGUACAUAGUUUUUAGAUCUUACACUGGAGAGGAAACCAUUGAAAAGGAGUUAGAACACAUUUUCAAAACAAAAUGAUCAAAAAUAACAGGACUACACACACUGCCUGAAAUUAAUCUCAGUUCCGAGAAAGGACCUGAUUUCAAGUUGAUGAUGCG